rnacentral:rRNA from 1 species
UACGUAGGGCGCAAGCGUUGUCCGGAAUCAUUGGGCGUAAAGAGCUCGUAGGCGGCUUGUCGCGUCGUUCGUGAAAACCUGCAGCUCAACUGCAGGCUUGCGGUCGAUACGGGCAGGCUGGAGUUCGGUAGGGGAGACUGGAAUUCCUGGUGUAGCGGUGAAAUGCGCAGAUAUCAGGAGGAACACCGAUGGCGAAGGCAGCUCGCUGGGACGGUACUGACGCUGAGACGCGAAAGCGUGGGGAGCAAACAGG